rnacentral:rRNA from 1 species
UACGUAGGGUGCGAGCGUUGUCCGGAAUUAUUGGGCGUAAAGAGCUCGUAGGCGGCUUGUUGCGUCGACUGUGAAAACCCACGGCUCAACCGUGUGGUCUGCAGUCGAUACGGGCAGGCUAGAGUUCGGUAGGGGGAGACUGGAAUUCCUGGAUGUAGCGGUGAAAUGACGCAGAUAUCAGGAGGAACACCGGUGGCGAAGGCGGGUCUCUGGGCCGGUACUGACGCUAAGGCGCGAAAGCGUGGGGAGCGAACAGG